rnacentral:rRNA from 1 species
UACGUAGGGUGCGAGCGUUAAUCGGAAUUACUGGGCGUAAAGCGUGCGCAGGCGGUUAUGCAAGACAGAUGUGAAAUCCCCGGGCUCAACCUGGGAACUGCAUUUGUGACUGCAUAACUAGAGUGUGGCAGAGGGAGAUGGAAUUCCGCGUGUAGCAGUGAAAUGCGUAGAUAUGCGGAGGAACACCAAUGGCGAAGGCAAUCUCCUGGGCCUGCACUGACGCUCAUGCACGAAAGCGUGGGGAGCAAACAGG